GAUAUUUUAAUAUUCAGUAUUUUCAGACUCAGCAGGCAGCAGGCUAAAUCUGUCCGCUGAUGGGCAGGCAUAAAUUAUGAAACCACUCACGCAGGUUGAGAGGUUGCCCUGAGCUGGGGGGGUGCUGCCCCCAGUGUCUGCUCAAGGUGGCUGGGGGAUGGAUUGCUCCCCACUCAGGAAAGAAGGGGGAAUAUGAACAGGUGAGUGACCACAGUGGGGUUGUGAACCGUGGACAGUGGGACCUGUGGGGGCUUCUCAAAUCCUGGGCCCUCAGACUUUAGGAUCAGAAGAGGGAAAAAACCCGGUAGGACAGGCUCAGCUUCCCGAGGCUGGAGGGUGAGGCUGCCCCCUAGUGGCUGAAGUUCAUGACCGGACGGACGUUCAAGGAGUCUCAGGCGUUCCUAUGCCUUCUCCCAGGAAGUGGGCUGUGCAGGCUGGAGGUGCCCUAGUGUCAGGCUGAAGGCUGGGAGCCGACAUCUAAUCAUCAAGAUGAUGGAACUCUGAGGGCUGAAGGUGGAAAACUGGAGGCGCAGAGAUUAACAGCUGCUCACUUCUGCAACAGUCAUUUAAUGAGCACUAACUACGUGCAAGACUCUAUGUUAGCUUCCAGGAUAAAAAUGAAUUAAGAUUUAUUUUCUACCUUUUGGAAGAAAUUGCUGUGGGUCAGGGUAGCUGGAACGGACUUAAAAGAGGAUGCUGAACUUCAGGGAUGUUAAAGCACUGAGGGCCACAGCACUUGUUCUCAUCAACAUCAUCAUCAGCAUCAGCAUCAUUGUCACCAUAACCAGCAUCAUUGGCAUCAGCAUAAUCAGCAUCACUACCCUCAUCAUCAUCAGUAGCAUCAAUAUCACCAUCAUCAGCAUCACCAUUAUCAUCAGCAGCAGCAUCGAUAUCACCAUCAGCAGCAGCAUCAGCAUCAUCAGCAGCAUCAGCACCAUCAGCAUCAUCAGCACCAUCAGCAGCAUCAGCAACAUCAGCAUCAUCGUCAUUAGCAUCAUCAGCAGCAUCACCACCAUUAUCAGCAGCAGCAUCACCAUCUAA
rnacentral:lncRNA from 10 species